rnacentral:rRNA from 1 species
AGUGGCGGACGGGUGAGUAACGCGUGGGAACGUGCCCUUUGGUACGGAACAACUGAGGGAAACUUCAGCUAAUACCGUAUGUGCCCUUCGGGGGAAAGAUUUAUCGCCAUUGGAGCGGCCCGCGUUGGAUUAGCUAGUUGGUGGGGUAAAGGCCCACCAAGGCUACGAUCCAUAGCUGGUCUGAGAGGAUGACCAGCCACACUGGGACUGAGACACGGCCCAGACUCCUACGGGAGGCAGCAGUAGGGAAUCUUGGGCAAUGGGCGAAAGCCUGACCCAGCCAUGCCGCGUGAAUGAUGAAGGUCUUAGGAUUGUAAAAUUCUUUCACCGGGGACGAUAAUGACGGUACCCGGAGAAGAAGCCCCGGCUAACUUCGUGCCAGCAGCCGCGGUAAUACGAAGGGGGCUAGCGUUGCUCGGAAUUACUGGGCGUAAAGGGCGCGUAGGCGGAUCGUUAAGUUAGAGGUGAAAGCCCAGGGCUCAACCUUGGA